GACGAACGCUGGCGGCGUGCUUAACACAUGCAAGUCGAACGGAGUGGCGAACGGGUGAGUAACACGUGGGUGACCUGCCUUGCACUUCGGGAUAAGCCUGGGAAACUGGGUCUAAUACCGGAUAGUGCAAGAUGAGCUCUCGGCCUAUCAGCUUGUUGGUGGGGUAAUGGCCUACCAAGGCGUCGACGGGUAGCAGGCCUGAGAGGGUGGACGGCGACAUUGGGGCUGAGAUAAGGCACAGAGUCGUAAGGGGGGCAGAAGUGGGGAAUAUUGCACAAUGGGCGGAAGCCUGAUGCAGCGACGCCGGGUGGGGGAUGAAGGCAUUCGGGUUGUAAACUCCUUUAGACAGGGACGCGGUACCGGUAUAAGAAGCACCGGCUAACUACGUGCCAGCAGCCGCGGUAAUUC
rnacentral:rRNA from 1 species